AAUGGCCACAUUGGGAAUGAGACACGGCCCAGACUCCUACGGGAGGCAAGCAGUGGGGAAUAUUGCACAAUGGGGGAAACCCUGAUGCAAGCGAUACCGCGUGGAGGAAGAAGGUCUUCGGAUUGUAAACUCCUGUUGUUGGGGAAGAUAAUGACGGUACCCAACAAGGAAGUGACGGCUAACUACGUGCCAGCAGCCGCGGUAAAACGUAGGUCACAAGCGUUGUCCGGAAUUACUGGGUGUAAAGGGAGCGCAGGCGGGAAGACAAGUUGGAAGUGAAAUCUAUGGGCUCAACCCAUAAACUGCUUUCAAAACUGUUUUUCUUGAGUAGUGCAGAGGUAGGCGGAAUUCCCGGUGUAGCGGUGGAAUGCGUAGAUAUCGGGAGGAACACCCGUGGCGAAGGCGGCCUACUGGGCACCAACUGACGCUGAGGCUCGAAAGUGUGGGUAGCAAACAGGAUUAGAUACCCUGGUAGUCCACACCGUAAACGAUGAUUACUAGGUGUUGGGGGAUUGACCCCCUCAGUGCCGCAGUUAACACAAAUAAGUAAUCCACCUGGGGAGUACGACCGCAAGGUUGAAACUCAAAGGAAUUGACGGGGGCCCGCACAAGCAGUGGAGUAUGUGGUUUAAUUCGAAGCAACGCGAAGAACCUUACCAGGUCUUGACAUCCGAUGCAUAGCACAGAGAUGUGUGAAAUCCUUCGGGACAUCGAGACAGGUGGUGCAUGGUUGUCGUCAGCUCGUGUCGUGAGAUGUUGGGUUAAGUCCCGCAACGAGCGCAACCCUUAUUGCCAGUUACUACGUUAAGAGGACUCUGGCGAGACUGCCGUUGACAAAACGGAGGAAGGUGGGGAUGACGUCAAAUCAUCAUGCCCUUUAUGACCUGGGCUACACACGUACUACAAUGGCGUUAAACAAAGAGAAGCAAGACCGCGAGGUGGAGCAAAACUCAAAAACAACGUCUCAGUUCAGAUUGCAGGCUGCAACUCGCCUGCAUGAAGUCGGAAUUGCUAGUAAUCGCGGAUCAGCAUGCCGCGGUGAAUACGUUCCCGGGCCUUGCACACACCGCCCGUCA
rnacentral:rRNA from 1 species